CCUACGGGUGGCUGCAGUGGGGAAUAUUGGGCAAUGGGCGCAAGCCUGACCCAGCAACGCCGCGUGAAUGAAGAAGGCUUUCGGGUUGUAAACUUCUUUUAAGCGGGAAGAGCAGAAGACGGUACCUCUUCAAUAAGCCACGGCUAACUACGUGCAAGCAGCCGCGGUAAUACGUAGGUGGCAAGCGUUAUCCGGCUUUAUUGGGUUUAAAGGGUGCGUAGGCGGACUGUUAAGUCAGCGGGAAAAGCCCGGGGCUCAACCCCGGCGAGCCGUUGAAACUGGCUGUCUUGAGAUGUCGAGAGGUGUGCGGAAUGCGCAGUGUAGCGGUGAAAUGCUUAGAGAUUGCGAAGAACUCCGAUUGCGAAGGCAGCAUACCGGCGGCGAUCUGACGCUGAGGCACGAAAGCGUGGGUAUCGAACAGGAUUAGAUACCCGAGUAGUC
rnacentral:rRNA from 1 species